UACGUAGGGUGCAAGCGUUUGUCCGGAAUUAUUGGGCGUAAAGAGCUCGUAGGCGGUCUGUCGCGUCUGCUGUGAAAAUCCAGGGCUCAACCCUGGACCUGCAGUGGGUACGGGCAGACUAGAGUGCGGUAGGGGAGAUCGGAAUUCCUGGUGUAGCGGUGAAAUGCGCAGAUAUCAGGAGGAACACCGGUGGCGAAGGCGGUUCUCUGGGCAUUACCUGACGCUGAGGAGCGAAAGUGUGGGGAGCGAACAGG
rnacentral:rRNA from 1 species